GAUGAACGCUGGCGGCGUGCCUAAUACAUGCAAGUCGAGCGAACGGACGAGAAGCUUGCUUCUCUGAUGUUAGCGGCGGACGGGUGAGUAACACGUGGAUAACCUACCUAUAAGACUGGGAUAACUUCGGGAAACCGGAGCUAAUACCGGAUAAUAUUUUGAACCGCAUGGUUCAAAAGUGAAAGACGGUCUUGCUGUCACUUAUAGAUGGAUCCGCGCUGCAUUAGCUAGUUGGUAAGGUAACGGCUUACCAAGGCAACGAUGCAUAGCCGACCUGAGAGGGUGAUCGGCCACACUGGAACUGAGACACGGUCCAGACUCCUACGGGAGGCAGCAGUAGGGAAUCUUCCGCAAUGGGCGAAAGCCUGACGGAGCAACGCCGCGUGAGUGAUGAAGGUCUUCGGAUCGUAAAACUCUGUUAUUAGGGAAGAACAUAUGUGUAAGUAACUGUGCACAUCUUGACGGUACCUAAUCAGAAAGCCACGGCUAACUACGUGCCAGCAGCCGCGGUAAUACGUAGGUGGCAAGCGUUAUCCGGAAUUAUUGGGCGUAAAGCGCGCGUAGGCGGUUUUUUAAGUCUGAUGUGAAAGCCCACGGCUCAACCGUGGAGGGUCAUUGGAAACUGGAAAACUUGGGUGCAGAAGAGGAAAGUGGAAUUCCAUGUGUAGCGGUGAAAUGCGCAGAGAUAUGGAGGAACACCAGUGGCGAAGGCGACUUUCUGGUCUGUAACUGACGCUGAUGUGCGAAAGCGUGGGGAUCAAACAGGAUUAGAUACCCUGGUAGUCCACGCCGUAAACGAUGAGUGCUAAGUGUUAGGGGGUUUCCGCCCCUUAGUGCUGCAGCUAACGCAUUAAGCACUCCGCCUGGGGAGUACGACCGCAAGGUUGAAACUCAAAGGAAUUGACGGGGACCCGCACAAGCGGUGGAGCAUGUGGUUUAAUUCGAAGCAACGCGAAGAACCUUACCAAAUCUUGACAUCCUUUGACAACUCUAGAGAUAGAGCUUUCCCCUUCGGGGGACAAAGUGACAGGUGGUGCAUGGUUGUCGUCAGCUCGUGUCGUGAGAUGUUGGGUUAAGUCCCGCAACGAGCGCAACCCUUAAGCUUAGUUGCCAUCAUUAAGUUGGGCACUCUAAGUUGACUGCCGGUGACAGACCGGAGGAAGGUGGGGAUGACGUCAAAUCAUCAUGCCCCUUAUGAUUUGGGCUACACACGUGCUACAAUGGACAAUACAAAGGGCAGCGAAACCGCGAGGUCAAGCAAAUCCCAUAAAGUUGUUCUCAGUUCGGAUUGUAGUCUGCAACUCGACUACAUGAAGCUGGAAUCGCUAGUAAUCGUAGAUCAGCAUGCUACGGUGAAUACGUUCCCGGGUCU
rnacentral:rRNA from 1 species